AGGCCCACAAAGCCCAUCCUUUGACAAAGAGGAUGUGUCAAUUUCGUAAAUUUCUCAUCCCUAAACCUAGGCCGUCCUGCUUCCCCUUCCCACUCAAGAGACGAUUGCAAAACGUCUCCCGUUAUGGCAUCGACUCCUCUACAUCCACUACUUGAUCUUCAUUGCUUCUUAACUUUUUCUUCACUGCCGAGCUUGAAAUCUAUCUAUAUAGACUGGCAUGAGAAUCUGCAGAGAAAAUCAUUUGCUCCUUCAUCAAUCAUAGAACACUCAGUCUCUUUCAGCCAUCUCCGACUAUGGAAAAUCAUCAACUUCAGUUCGCUGAGUGUAAGGCUGAUCGCUAGAUGAAUGUCGUUAAACUUUUGGCAAAAGGAAAAUCACAUAUCUCACUGAGAAAGAGAUAAGUGACAGUCAAAUGGCUACUUGGUUUAGCUACAGUUGAUCCAAAUGUAAAAGGUGGUUUAAGGUGGCCGUUUGGUAAACCUAACUCUGAGGCUUAGGGUGAGAGAGACUGAUAGAUUCAAUGAGAGGAUUGGAACGGGGCAAGUCAAUAGGGAGGUGAUUCUGAUGCUCAAAGACAUGAAACAGCAGCAGAACAUUGAUAGGGGUUGUGUUUUGGAAAUGCUCAGAGAUGUUCUUAGAACCUUGUGGGAUUUCUUGCAUUGUGAAGCCUAUCUUACAUGAUCAUUUGUAACGUGUAUGGGACUGCUGAUCCCAUUGUUUCGAGCCGGUUCAGGUGUUUCUUCCUUCCUUUCCAUAUCUAUUACUUGAUUACUAAUACGUUUCUGGAUAGUCAUGUCUGUUGUUUAACCAAAGACUGAGACUACAGCCACUAAUGCGUAUGGUGUGGAAAAAGAUGUUGGAGCCAUUUUCUUUUCUCUGAGUUAAAAGUUUUUAAUAAAUUUCUGUUGUAUUUGGCUCUUUAAAUCUUCGUGUUAGUUUCCAAACAUGAAAGCAUCAAUUUGUAAUUUUAUACAUAGGUAAGUUCAGUUUGACAGAAAAUCAUCAAACUUAUUUGC